UGGCUUAGAGGGUUAAGCGUCUGCCUGCAAUGCAGGAGACCUGGGUUCAAUCCCUG
rnacentral:tRNA from 1 species